UGCCCUCCCCAGUGCUGGGGGUGUUAGAUGUGUACCACAGUGCCUCUGUGAUUCAUGGAGAACUUUACAGUGGAGGAAUCAUGAUGCCACCACCUGAGUCCACUGAUGAAGCUUAGCAUCUAUAAAUGUGACAGAGCCGGGCACAGACACCCUUUGCCUGCUGUCAUUGAUGCAGUCUGAAGCAUCCAACACUGCCUAGAAAAGAUGCUGGCCAAAGAAGCAAACAAGCCUCUCAACAUGAAUUAAAUCAAACCCUCAGGGCUGUUUUGUGUGUGCGUGUUCUUGAGUGUGGCA
rnacentral:lncRNA from 1 species